GCCUGCCUGACCUUGAGCUGCGGCACGCUUCUGCGCAUGCGUUGCCCCAGGGCGGGAGGAUCGUUAGUCACGUGAGCGUCUUCGCGCUGUGUCGCUGACGGCUGGUGGAUGGGCGCCAUUUUGGUGCUGAGCGGAGUGACUCAGCUGACUUCGAUGAAUGCCCUCUGGAACCGUGCUAGCUGGAAACCAGCCUCACUCCUACCACCGUGGAACUUUCUUUUGCUGUGACGUUGUAAUGGGAGGUGGAGACACCUCGAGGAGAAGGCUGAAACAGACAGCAGCAAUUGCAGGCAGUAGCAUCUGUCUAUGACUGGAGAAAAUCCUGCCACAAUUAUAGAAACACCAGGAAGACUAUCCAUGUUUCAAAUCUGUUUUGAUAUAUCUUAACUUCGUGAUGCGGAGUACGGCCGCUCUCAGGAGGUUGCAGAAAAAGGACAUAAAACCAUAAUAAGUUUUCAGAGAGAUACAGAAAAUAAGAUUUCAGCAAGUGAUUUACUGAGAGGAGAAGAGGAGUCAAAUCUUGUAAAAGGAUGCUCUUGUAAAUACUUGUCCCAUGUCUUCACUGGAGUACGAUGUUAAAUGAGCAGCUGACAAAUAUCAUUGCCCAGCUGAUGGUCACACAAUGACCCUGGGAGGUGAGGAGGCAGUGAAACUGAGGCAGCGUCACCUUGAUUCCUUUAGACUGAGGUAGAGGAAACCUCUAUGGCUUUCAUGCAAAGUGUCUCCUGGGAUCCUCUUUAGCCUGGCCAGGCAGCCGGGAGUGUCUGAGUCCUCCAAGGAGAGGGCUGGGUGGAGAUACGGGUUAUGAAAUGCAGUGUGGGUGGGCUGACACUGGAGCUGGUAAGAUGAUGUGACCUUACUGAUUCAGAGACUGCCAAAGUGCCUGAUUCAAUAUUCAUCCUGCUGGAUGAGAAACAGCACCACUGAGAAGCCAAGAGAUUUAUCACAGGGCUCGGUGGCAAUGCUGGGAGCAAGCAGGUAUCAGCUGAGGAAGCUGCUGUCUGCCUGGAGAGCCUGGCAGCAAGCAAGCCUGCAGUUCUGAAGAGCCUGUAUUUGGCCAUUGUGCCUUUUGGCUGUUGGAAUUUUUCUUGUGCUGUUGAGUCAGAGCUACAGCAGUGAUCUGGACCACGUUUUGAUUGGUUUCCUUGAGCCCGUGCUGCCACUCACACAGCUUGUGCUGCUAGGUCUCCCUCCCACGGUUUGGUCACAUCUUGAAUCAAACUGAGUAAAAGACUGCUGAGAUGCACAGGCUGGAGCACCAGCCCUCCUCUUGCACCUGUGGUGCCCUGGUUGGGGAUGGAGAUAUUGCAGGGAGAGGAAUCCUGCGUUUGAUGGUGGCUAAGAAGAGGUAGGUGUCUUCAGCAAGCAAUGAGAUCUUUUGGUUCUUCAGGAUUACAGAUGUCACAGUAGACUUAUAUGUUUUUAGGAGAAAAAUCUCUGCUCUGACCUCAAUACAGGAAAGUCACCGCCAAACUCCUGCUCCUGUUGGUGUGCUUGGCACUGAGUUGGAGCCAGGGAAGACUUUUCCUGUAAACUCCCGCACAGAGGAGGCCUGUUGCUGUGAACUCUUGCAUAAUAAUUAGAGGAAGCAACUUUGGGCUCCCAUCACUGGUUACGCAACAGGGCUGGAUCUGGUCGCUGUGCAGCCCAACACCACCAAGCUGGUGCCUCUUUCCAGAAACCCCUCCUUCGCCUCUGUCCCCCUCCUGGGGAGCCUCUGUGCAGGCUGCGGGAGGCAGCAAACGGGAACUUCUGCCCCACAGUCAGCUCCCAGGUAAAUCCUGUCUGGGACCUACUGGGGAAAAUUGUAACCCCUCGGUAGAAACGAUCCAAGUUUCCAAGGCAACUACCCUCUAACCCUAUUUUGAACGCUGCCUUGUUCCCAUAGAAAGUUGCCCGUUAGUCUCGUCAGCAGCUGCCGCGGAGAGCACACCACCUCCAGAGGAGCUGUCCUCUGCAGAGCUCUUUAUUCCCAUAAUGAGCAGCCGGGGGGGGGGGGUUGGUGGCAUGUGCAGCUUGCUGCUGCUGGCCCCCAGCCGUGCUUGGGCAGGGCACCGCACGGCCCAGGAGAUGCUUUUGAGUGAGCUGGCGUGCUUCUGCCUCUGCCUUCCCAGGGAGAAGGAGGUGCCUGGGGCUCCCUGGAGGUGCACGGAGUUGGGGGCUGGAGUGCAGAUGGGGCUGCUUGGACACUUUUUGGCGAGCUGGAGGGUGACAAGUGAAGAAAAAGGACACAGCGUUUUAUUUAAUUAGAAAAACCAAACUCCCUAAAACUAGCCUCCGAAGGGCCUCCGUUGUCAUCAGCUUCACAAAGAGCUGUGACAAAUGAAAGGAACUGAGCAGAGAAAAGGCUGCUUUCUCUUUGUGUCUCUUUCCCAGCUUCUGUUUGCUUUGCUGUCUCCCUUGCUCCCAUUGAUCAGGCAUGUGGAAACAUUCCUCCUCCUGCGCUCCCAUUGUGGCCGCCCGGUUGCCAGGCUGCCGUUGGCUUGAAUAACUUCACUAAGCCAGGCCUCUCCAAAACCAUGCCAUCCGGCACACUGGAUGCGGGGCCAGACGUUGCCCUCCCAUCCUCCUCCUUCCCUCCCCCUCCCAGGCAGCGCAGGGGUGCAGUGAAAAAAAUGCCUGAAAGAACAAGGGAGGCAGCGUGGAGCCCAAGUGGCCUGGCAAGGGGAGAGGUGCAAGCUCACCCUAAGAAAAUGGGCUGCAGGGAGAAGACAAUGGCCUGCCUGGGUUGCUGCGUUAACAGGGAGGUGGGUGGUGUGGUGAGGGUUGUUAGCACAAAGUUUUUGAGCAGAGAGGAGACACAGAGGCACACUUCCAGGCUGAUAGGCCUGCGGGGAAAACCAGUAAAGUGCAUCAGGAAUGUGCAGGUGGCAGCACUGGUGCAGAGCUGCACUCCCUGGGCUUACCCAAGAUUACCUUGGGGUAGUGCUGGCACUGAGGAUGCUGGACUCGUGCUCAAGUCAGCACCUGGGUUCUUGCGCUGUCACUAGCUCCAAACCAAACUCGAGUCCCAUUUCAUGCAACUCCGCUGCCUAUGGUCAUUAUUAUUCUGGGUGCAAAUCUGGCUUAUUAUUCUUAAUGCUAUGUUUCUAUCAGUGAAAUAAUGGUAAGCAGUUUGUGCUUUCAGGUGUGCUUAUUGACUCAAAACUGCCAGGGCUCCAAGCUCAGCUGGUUCAAGGCAGCCCUGGCCCAUCAGCUCCCAGCAUCACCCCAAUUUAGUCUUCACCUCACCUAGCUGUGUCCCUGCACUCAGGUUGGGUGGCAUGGUGUCACUGUGGACUGUGCCUGCUGGCAGACAGGGGCUCCCCCCGGUGCUGGGUGGCCCCAGGUCUGUCUGCAGGGGUAGCACCGGCAACCCUGUCCCCAGCAGCACAGGAGAUGCUAUAGGGCAGCUGGAGCUGACACGAACGAGAUUGGGUUUGCUCUGCAGAGAGGUCCCAGGUUUGUACUGGGCUUGUACUGGUUUGAAGGGCAGGGACUGCUGAGCUCAGGUGAUUAACAUAACAAUCCUGGGGCUCUGCCUUCAUCCUGCGGCUAAAGCCUGGUUUGCUCAAUCCAAUUUCCAGCCUCUGCCCUUUCUUUAGCAGACUAAUUACAUCGGCAGGACAGUGGAAAUGACCUUCUUAAAGCCACAGUGCCCCUCGUCUUCUUACUUACAUGUCAAAACACAGGAGAUGGAACAGUGAUAUCAUUCAGAGAAAUAACGUGUUUAGAUACAAUGGGCAAAAGCACUCAAAGUGCUCCCGGAAGUUUACAGCGGUAACUUGGGCGCUGUUGGUUGAUAUCAGCCAUGUAUGUUUGUAAAGAUCCUUCCAAACGUGGCACAAUGCUGUUGGGGCCCAGAGGUGUGGUGUUGUGCUAGUUUUAGAAAUGAUAAGUAUGUGGUAUUACACCAAUAAAUGUGCAAAGCGUUACCAUCUUGCACAGAAACCUGUGAGGGCACUGGACUGGAAAGCUUCUGUCGCGCUGGUUUCUCUCAUUAGUCAUCCUAGCCUCAUUCUGUCUCUGUAAUACAUAGCACCCUGCUCCCGUGCAGCUUUCUGCCCUCUCUCUGCACUAACUGGGAUGUGGCUUUCAGGCCCAGAGCGACUGUGCAUGUUCUGAGGUCCAGUCCUACAGCAGCUGCGGCCCUGAUUGGGCUGGGGCUGAAGCCGGUGUUGGGAGCCUGCCAGGGGCUGCAAACACAGAUGAAAAGCUGCACUCCAUCUCUGCGUGUGCAAGUUGCAGGAAACCUUUUGUCUGUGUGCAUGGUGCUGGCGUGACCAGCCACUGAGCAAGGGAUAGGUGCUCCCACGGCCCUUGACUGCUGGAGCAGAAACAGAUGAUUUCCAAGGGGAGUAGAGUAUGUUGCUCUGCUAGUGUUCCGAUCGAGUUUGUAAAGACUUUUGCUGGAGUGGUCUUCAUUUUUAUAGUAUGAAACUGUCGGCAGUCAUAUAAAUCCUUCACAAAGGAUAAUGGAAAGUUGGAGUUUGUACCUGACCGGUGGCUUGGCAUAAGAUGUAUCUGUUGUGGUCCUGUUGAAAUUGGCAGUGAUAUUUUGUUAAGGCUGAAUAUUGUCUUUGUGUGAUAUUGGUUCUUGCAAAUAAAGAGUCAGUCUUGUAGUUCUAGGAGUUCCUGAGAGGUGAAGCUGGUCUAACUGAGGGAACAGCCAUCGCUAGGCUUCUUCUAGAGCUGAAGGAAUGGUUUUGCUCUCUCCUGCUUUGAAAGAAGGGAGUGUGGUGAGCAUCCUGAGGUUUAAUGUAACAAAACAGGCUGGGAAUAAAAUUAACUAGAUAGCUGAUAUAGAUGUGUCAGUCACACUUUGCCCCAAAGCCACUGCUGAUUGCUGAGAUACCAGUUCCAUCAGGCAUUGAGAAGAGGUAGGAAAACAAUUUUCAAUUCGUGGCAGUCUUAAAGAGCCCUGCUGCAUACAACACAUUUGAUGCUGUAAUAACUGACACUGUUUGUGACAGACAAACGUGGGGCUUGCGUAGCAAAGCAGUUGAGAAGUGCUUGCUGUUGCAUACCAAGGGCCCGUGGAAAUGGUACCUGCUGGGAAAGAUGUUGUAAGAGGAUCUCUGCUACCAAUGGCAUCUACAAAAAGCUGUAAGACAAGAGCAAGAAUUCUGAGCGUAAUAGAAGAUUAAAAUAUAUAUAUAUAUAUAAAGUUAUUUUUUGCAAAGGCAGAAAUGGUACGUGGUGGUCAGAUUCUGCUCUAAGCUACAAAACAGGAGGCUUCUGGGAAACAAGCAGAUAUUGGGAAAAUUGAUAGUCCUGCACUGAAGUAUAAAGAUAAACUGAACAUGUCUGAAAGAGAGGGAAACAUUUGCAGGAGAGGCUGAGGGAGAGCAAAUGCAUCCAGCACAACAAGGAUAGAACAAAUCCUGGGAGCUAACUUGGAGGCAUGACCUUGCCCAUCCUUACAACAGCCUUCUCUUAGGCUUUCUUUUACUGGAGAGUUAAUCUCAGGAGUUCUGUCUCUAGUGUAGCAUACAGGGCUAUAGGAAACAGUCCAGUGACUUUGUCCUCCACAGAGCAUUAUGGCUUUUUGAGGAGGCAGGAAUGAGGUUUAGAACUGUGCACAAGAAUACGGACUUACCAAACAUUACUGUUGAUGAUUUGUGGGGUUUUUUUUUGUUCAUUUUUCCUAUGUGAGCCUUCCAGGGGAGGCUGCCUUGUUGGUGGAAAGCCCUGCUGCUCCUGUGGGGCAGGGCUGCCGUAGGUUGGCGCUGGUCAAGCAGUGACAGUAGGCAGUGUGGUAAAGUCAGAGUGGAUUCUGCACGAUUUAAAAUCAAGGCAAAGUAUUGUUAGUUCUUCUCCAUGUGUGGAUGAACGCCUCCUGUGUGGCUGGUGCCAGGCACUGUCACAUCCCACUGCUCACGAAUGCCUUUGCCAGGUGGAGACCCCGUCUGCUGUAAGUUGGAGUUAAGGACCAAAUGAGAGCGUUCUGUGUCACUCUUAAGUGAUGCUUAGGCUCAUGUUUCAGGGAGGGAGUCUGGAAAAUGGGAUCCUAUGACUUUUUCAAUGAGUGAAUUCACUCAUCUUUUUUUUCCCCCUGAAAUACAUGAAUAACCCGCAUGUAUGUGAGAGCUGCCCCAUACCACAGCUGGGUCAGUGGAGAAUCUUGUGUUUCCUUUGGGUUACACACCACACAAAGUGACUCAGAUCAGACGGUCUCCUGAGGAGAGGCCACCAUGGGAAUGUUGUUUUCAGCAUCCCACAGCCUCCUCGAACCGAAGCCUGAGAGCUCCUGUUGGAGUCCAUAAAGUAAUUAGUUGCAGCGUCCCUGUUUUGGAGGAGAUUAGUGCCGUGGCUAAGUCUACAAUUAGAGACUGUGCAGUCUGAUUUUGUAAUCGAGAGUUAUAGUAGACAUCAGGCAGUGCUUCCUGAAUAGCAGAUAUUCUAUGUAUGGUUUUAUACAGGAUAAAUGUUCUGGCUUAAAUAUAGAAGCAGUAUUCUUCUGUCAGGAUCUCUAAAAGAAAAUGCAUUAGAGUUAAUGUGUGCAAGCGGUGUGUUUGGGACGUCGUUCACUUACCUAUUACAACUGGAAUUUAGAUACGUAAAACAAGAUUUACUCAUUUUCCUAUGAUAUAUUGGGCUGGUGGAAAUCAUUGUAUAUUUGAGAUGUCCCCCAUCACCCUAUGGCAGUCGUUUGCUGGGGUCUGGCUUGCAGGUACCCACAGUCUCAUAAAGCAGGCAGUGUGCCAUACCUCCUAUGAUGCUGACUGUGAAAUCUCCUUAGCUCCCGAUUACUCCCUUUCUCUUUCACUCAUGAGGACCUUGAUUCAGCUACUUCUGCAGCAGGCUCCUAGUGACAAAACUUCUGUCUGAAAUGUGCUGUGUCUGGCAAAACAAGUGGCAGUUCUUACAAGGUCCUUCCAGAGAGGUUUCUCUUGCUGCUGUCGUUUACACACACGCAGCUCUGUGCCUGUCCCAGGAUUUUCUUCCUUCCUCAUGAUGAGUGACUUAUUUCUGAGCACAGACUCGCGGAGCCAAGAUGGAGGAUCUCCAAGGGAAGUUUCAAGUGUUCAAUAAAAGAAGGAAUGCAGGCAGAAAAGAAAGCCACGACUCAAAUGGCAUCAUUCUCUUUCCUUCAUCCCUUGGAGGCUCUCCUGCUUUCCCUGCCUGCGUGUGACCUCCCUCCUUUCCCAACCAGCCUUUCUUUUUUCAGCCUUCGUCCUGCCCCUCACCCUCCUCGUUCAUUGAUCUCCCUUUAGGCUUUAUUAGUGACUCCCCCUCUCACCCUUUCCCUCCCUCAGUUUUUCUGAUUCUCUAGCAUAAGACAAUUGAACGAGGCCAGACUCCUAAGCUGAAGCUGGGGGUGUGGGGUGAGAGGGAAGAGGCGUUAAGAUUUAAUGAUAUUGCCUCUUUAAGGAAUCCCUAAUUCCUAACACCCGUCUCCUCCCCCACCUGAGAACCAAUUAAAACUCAAUGAAUUCAAGUGGAGGCUUUUGUGCAUCACAUGUGCUCGACUAACAAAGCUUUCUCCAUGCUGGAAUAAAAGCUUCUAUUCAGCAGCCGGUUUGUUCUAAUUCAAAUCACUUCCACUCCAGCAUCCUCUCCCUCCUUGCUGCUCCUGAGUUCCCAGGCCAGGCUGGGCUGCCGCCUGCACACCCUGCCCAGAGCUUCGUGCUGCACCUUGCAGAGCCCUGCCUCGGUGGCAGGGUGGCAGAGGGCAGGAGGUGACCUCCCUGUGGUUAGCCAGGUGCCCUGCGGUGCUGGUGGCCCCAACCCUGGGAGCCUGCUGGGCUGCAGGGUGAGCCAGCAUCGUGUGCUGCUGAACAGCAGCUCCAGCCUUGGGAGCUGCUUCUGAAGGGGAUUCUUCUCUGCCCUCGGGAGGCAGCUCAUUUGUGCAGAGUCCUCUGUGUGUGGACAGAAAACUUACUUGUCUGUAGACAGAGUUCAGACUUCCUUGACACCAGUGAAAGCUCUCUCCUUUCUUUUUUG